rnacentral:rRNA from 1 species
GGGGAAUAUUGGGCAAUGGGCGAAAGCCUGACCCAGCAACGCCGCGUGAUUGAAGAAGGCCUUCGGGUUGUAAAGAUCUGUCCUAUGGGACGAAAAAAAUGACGGUACCAUAGGAGGAAGCCCCGGCUAACUACGUGCCAGCAGCCGCGGUAAUACGUAGGGGGCGAGCGUUGUCCGGAAUUACUGGGCGUAAAGGGUGCGCAGGCGGUUUUUUAAGUCAGAUGUGAAAUACCCAGGCUUAACUUGGGGGGUGCAUCUGAUACUGGAGGACUUGAGUGCAGGAGAGGAAAGUGGAAUUCCUAGUGUAGCGGUGAAAUGCGUAGAUAUUAGGAGGAACACCAGUGGCGAAGGCGACUUUCUGGACUGUAACUGACGCUGAGGCACGAAAGCGUGGGGAGCAAAC